UACGAAGGGGGCGAGCGUUGCUCGGAAUGACUGGGCGUAAAGGGUGCGUAGGCGGAUGGUACAGUCAGAUGUGAAAUUCCUGGGCUUAACCUGGGGGCUGCAUUUGAUACGUGUUGUCUAGAGUGAGGAAGAGGGUCGUGGAAUUCCCAGUGUAGAGGUGAAAUUCGUAGAUAUUGGGAAGAACACCGGUGGCGAAGGCGGCGACCUGGUCCUUUACUGACGCUGAGGCGCGAAAGCGUGGGGAGCAAACAGG
rnacentral:rRNA from 1 species